UCCGAGUUGACCCCGGCAGUCUCCUGCGAGUCCCCGCCAUUACGCGCUGGCAACACAGGACAAGGGUUGCGCUCGUUGCGGGACUUAACCCAACAUCUCACGACACGAGCUGACGACAGCCAUGCACCACCUGUAUACCGACCACAAGGGGGGCCGUAUCUCUACGGCUUUCCGGUAUAUGUCAAACCCAGGUAAGGUUCUUCGCGUUGCAUCGAAUUAAACCACAUGCUCCACCGCUUGUGUGAGCCCCCGUCAAUUCCUUUGAGUUUCGGCCUUGCGACUGUACUUCCCAGGCGGGGCACUUAACACAUUAGCUCCAGCAGGGAGAGCAUCGGAACUCCCCCUGCCUAGUGCCCAUCGUUUACGGCUUGGACUAC
rnacentral:misc_RNA from 1 species